rnacentral:rRNA from 1 species
AUUGAACGCUGGCGGCAGGCCUAACACAUGCAAGUCGAGCGAGAGGCGAGCGGGUGAGUAAUGUAUGGGGACUGCCCGAUGGGGGGGGAGAACUCCUGGAAAAGGUGGCUCAUACCGCAUACUCUCGGAUAACACAUAUGGGAUUAGCUAGUAGGUGGGGUAAAGGCUCACCUAGGCGACGAUCCCUAGCUGGCCUGAGAGGAUGGUCAGCGAGACUGGGACUGAGACACGCCCCAGAGUCCUACGGAGGCAGCAGUGGGGAAUAUUGCACAAUGGGCGCAAGCCUGAUGCAGCCAGGCCGCGUGUAGGAAGAAGGCCUUAGGGUUGUAAAGUACUUUCAGCGGGGAGGCGUUACCCGCAGAAGAAGCACCGGCUAACUCCGUGCCAGCCGCCGCGGUAAUAC